GGAGAAGCUCUGGGCCCAGCUGCUGCCCUGCUCCAAGAAGGUGAACCAACAAGUCAAACUGUAACAAUGUGCUCUGACAACCACCUUGCAUGAAAGAUCCACUCAAGACAAAAGCAGCAAUAUUUCAGAGGUAGGAUAUGGUGGCCCUUGGAGAAGACAUCAAUCAACCAGAAACUGAAACCAAUGUCUGGUCACAAGCCUGUUUAGAAAUCAACCUCAGGUGCCAUCCCUAAGGAUACAGGCAAGAGGACUCACUAUUGAUGUGAACAGAUGCUGGUGGUACCUUUAGGAAUUUAUGAGAGAAGACUGAGGACUAGAGGGUUAAACAUGAGGCUUUCUG